CUGGCGGUAUGCUUAACACAUGCAAGUCGAACGGUAACAGGUCGCUGCGAUCCCUUCGGGGUGAACUUGACGCUGACGAGUGGCGGACGGGUGAGUAAUACUUAGGAAUCUACCCAGUAGUGGGGGACAACACGACGAAAGUCGUGCUAAUACCGCAUACGCCCUAAGGGGGAAAGUGGAGGAUCUUCGGACUUCACGCUAUUGGAUGAGCCUAAGCCGGAUUAGCUUGUUGGUGGGGUAACGGCCCACCAAGGCAACGAUCCGUAGCUGGUCUGAGAGGACGAUCAGCCACACUGGGACUGAGACACGGCCCAGACUCCUACGGGAGGCAGCAGUGGGGAAUAUUGGACAAUGGGCGCAAGCCUGAUCCAGCAAUACCGCGUGUGUGAAGAAGGCCUGCGGGUUGUAAAGCACUUUCAGUAGAGAAGAAAAGCUUAGGGUUAAUACCCCUGGGUCUUGACGUAACCUACAGAAGAAGCACCGGCUAACUCCGUGCCAGCAGCCGCGGUAAUACGGGGGGUGCAAGCGUUAAUCGGAAUUACUGGGCGUAAAGCGCGCGUAGGCGGUCUGGUCAGUCGGAUGUGAAAGCCCCGGGCUCAACCUGGGAAUUGCAUUCGAUACUGCCCGACUAGAAUAUGGAAGAGGGAAGUGGAAUUUCCGGUGUAGCGGUGAAAUGCGUAGAGAUCGGAAGGAACACCAGUGGCGAAGGCGGCUUCCUGGGUCCAAUAUUGACGCUGAGGUGCGAAAGCGUGGGGAGCGAACAGGAUUAGAUACCCUGGUAGUCCACGCCGUAAACGAUGAGAACUAGAUGUCGGAAGGGUUUAGCCUUUCGGUGUCGCAGCUAACGCGUUAAGUUCUCCGCCUGGGGAGUACGGUGGCAACACUAAAACUCAAAGGAA
rnacentral:rRNA from 1 species